AGACCCGAAACCCGGUGAUCUAGCCAUGGGCAGGUUGAAGGUUGGGUAACACUAACUGGAGGACCGAACCGACUAAUGUUGAAAAAUUAGCGGAUGACUUGUGGCUGGGGGUGAAAGGCCAAUCAAACCGGGAGAUAGCUGGUUCUCCCCGAAAGCUAUUUAGGUAGCGCCUCGUGAAUUCAUCUCCGGGGGUAGAGCACUGUUUCGGCAAGGGGGUCAUCCCGACUUACCAACCCGAUGCAAACUGCGAAUACCGGAGAAUGUUAUCACGGGAGACACACGGCGGGUGCUAACGUCCGUCGUGAAGAGGGAAACAACCCAGACCGCCAGCUAAGGUCCCAAAGUCAUGGUUAAGUGGGAAACGAUGUGGGAAGGCCCAGACAGCCAGGAUGUUGGCUUAGAAGCAGCCAUCAUUUAAAGAAAGCGUAAUAGCUCACUGGUCGAGUCGGCCUGCGCGGAAGAUGUAACGGGGCUAAACCAUGCACCGAAGCUGCGGCAGCGACACUGUGUGUUGUUGGGUAGGGGAGCGUUCUGUAAGCCUGUGAAGGUGUACUGUGAGGUAUGCUGGAGGUAUCAGAAGUGCGAAUGCUGACAUAAGUAACGAUAAAGCGGGUGAAAAGCCCGCUCGCCGGAAGACCAAGGGUUCCUGUCCAACGUUAAUCGGGGCAGGGUGAGUCGACCCCUAAGGCGAGGCCGAAAGGCGUAGUCGAUGGGAAACAGGUUAAUAUUCCUGUACUUGGUGUUACUGCGAAGGGGGGACGGAGAAGGCUAUGUUGGCCGGGCGACGGUUGUCCCGGUUUAAGCGUGUAGGCUGGUUUUCCAGGCAAAUCCGGAAAAUCAAGGCUGAGGCGUGAUGACGAGGCACUACGGUGCUGAAGCAACAAAUGCCCUGCUUCCAGGAAAAGCCUCUAAGCAUCAGGUAACAUCAAAUCGUACCCCAAACCGACACAGGUGGUCAGGUAGAGAAUACCAAGGCGCUUGAGAGAACUCGGGUGAAGGAACUAGGCAAAAUGGUGCCGUAACUUCGGGAGAAGGCACGCUGAUAUGUAGGUGAAGUCCCUCGCGGAUGGAGCUGAAAUCAGUCGAAGAUACCAGCUGGCUGCAACUGUUUAUUAAAAACACAGCACUGUGCAAACACGAAAGUGGACGUAUACGGUGUGACGCCUGCCCGGUGCCGGAAGGUUAAUUGAUGGGGUCAGCGCAAGCGAAGCUCUUGAUCGAAGCCCCGGUAAACGGCGGCCGUAACUAUAACGGUCCUAAGGUAGCGAAAUUCCUUGUCGGGUAAGUUCCGACCUGCACGAAUGGCGUAAUGAUGGCCAGGCUGUCUCCACCCGAGACUCAGUGAAAUUGAACUCGCUGUGAAGAUGCAGUGUACCCGCGGCAAGACGGAAAGACCCCGUGAACCUUUACUAUAGCUUGACACUGAACAUUGAGCCUUGAUGUGUAGGAUAGGUGGGAGGCUUUGAAGUGUGGACGCCAGUCUGCAUGGAGCCGACCUUGAAAUACCACCCUUUAAUGUUUGAUGUUCUAACGUGGACCCGUGAUCCGGGUUGCGGACAGUGUCUGGUGGGUAGUUUGACUGGGGCGGUCUCCUCCUAAAGAGUAACGGAGGAGCACGAAGGUUGGCUAAUCCUGGUCGGACAUCAGGAGGUUAGUGCAAUGGCAUAAGCCAGCUUGACUGCGAGCGUGACGGCGCGAGCAGGUGCGAAAGCAGGUCAUAGUGAUCCGGUGGUUCUGAAUGGAAGGGCCAUCGCUCAACGGAUAAAAGGUACUCCGGGGAUAACAGGCUGAUACCGCCCAAGAGUUCAUAUCGACGGCGGUGUUUGGCACCUCGAUGUCGGCUCAUCACAUCCUGGGGCUGAAGUAGGUCCCAAGGGUAUGGCUGUUCGCCAUUUAAAGUGGUACGCGAGCUGGGUUUAGAACGUCGUGAGACAGUUCGGUCCCUAUCUGCCGUGGGCGCUGGAGAACUGAGGGGGGCUGCUCCUAGU
rnacentral:rRNA from 1 species